UACAGAGACUGCAAGCGUUAUUCGGAUUCAUUGGGCGUAAGGGUGCGUAGCGGCGCGGUAAGUCGGGUGUGAAAUCUCGGAGCUUAACCUCGAAACUGCAUUCGAUACUGCCGUGCUUGAGGACUGGAGAGGAGACUGGAAUUUACGGUGUAGCGGUGAAAUGCGUAGAUAUCGUGAAGGAAGACCAGUGGCGAAGGCGGGUCUCUGGACAGU
rnacentral:rRNA from 1 species